rnacentral:rRNA from 1 species
AACCACAGGGAUUGCCCUAGUAACGGCGAGUGAAGCGGCAACAGCUCAAAUUUGAAAUCUGGCGCAAGCCCGAGUUGUAAUUUGUAGAGGAUGCUUCUGGGUAGCGGCCGGUCUAAGUUCCUUGGAACAGGACGUCAUAGAGGGUGAGAAUCCCGUAUGUGACUGGCUUGCACCCUCCACGUAGCUCCUUCGACGAGUCGAGUUGUUUGGGAAUGCAGCUCUAAAUGGGAGGUAAAUUUCUUCUAAAGCUAAAUACCGGCCAGAGACCGAUAGCGCACAAGUAGAGUGAUCGAAAGAUGAAAAGCACUUUGGAAAGAGAGUUAAAAAGCACGUGAAAUUGUUGAAAGGGAAGCGCCCGCAACCAGACUUUGCGGCAGUGUUCGGCCGGUCUUCUGACCGGUUUACUCGCUGUCGUGAGGCCAUCAUCGUCUGGGACCGCUAGAUAAGACCUUAGGAAUGUGGCUCCCUUCGGGGAGUGUUAUAGCCUCUGGUGAUGUAGCGCGUCUCGGGCGAGGUCCGCGCUUCGGCAAGGAUGAUGGCGUAAUGGUUGUCGGCGGCCCGUCUUGAAACACGGACCAAGGAGUCUAACAUCUAUGCGAGUGUUCGGGUGUCAAACCCCUACGCGUAAUGAAAGUGAACGGAGGUGGGAACUUUUUGUGCACCAUCGACCGAUCCUGAUGUCCUCGGAUGGAUUUGAGUAAGAGCAUAGCUGUUGGGACCCGAAAGAUGGUGAACUAUGCCUGAAUAGGGUGAAGCCAGAGGAACUCUGGUGGAGGCUCGCAGCGGUUCUGACGUGCAAAUCGAUCGUCAAAUUUGGGUAUAGGGGCGAAAGACUAAUCGAACCAUCUAGUAGCUGGUUCCUGCCGAGC